rnacentral:rRNA from 1 species
UGGGGAAUAUUGCACAAUGGGCGCAAGCCUGAUGCAGCCAUGCCGCGUGUAUGAAGAAGGCCUUCGGGUUGUAAAGCACUUUCAGCGGGGAGGAAGGCGAUAAGGUUAAUAACCUUGUCGAUUGACGUUACCCGCAGAAGAAGCACCGGCUAACUCCGUGCCAGCAGCCGCGGUAAUACGGAGGGUGCAAGCGUUAAUCGGAAUUACUGGGCGUAAAGCGCACGCAGGCGGUCUGUCAAGUCGGAUGUGAAAUCCCCGGGCUCAACCUGGGAACUGCAUUCGAAACUGGCAGGCUAGAGUCUUGUAGAGGGGGGUAGAAUUCCAGGUGUAGCGGUGAAAUGCGUAGAGAUCUGGAGGAAUACCGGUGGCGAAGGCGGCCCCCUGGACGAAGACUGACGCUCAGGUGCGAAAGCGUGGGGAGCAAACAGG